rnacentral:rRNA from 1 species
UGACUACAGGGGUAUCUAAUCCCUUUCGCUCCCCUAGCUUUCGUCCAUGAGUGUCAGUUGCGGUCCAGUAGAGCGCUUUCGCCACUGGUGUUCUUCCCGAUCUCUACGCAUUUCACCGCUACACCGGGAAUUCCCUCUACCCCUACCGCACUCUAGCUUAUCAGUUUCCACUGCUGAUCCAGGGUUGAGCCCUGGGCUUUAACAGCAGACUUGAUAGGCCACCUGCGGACGCUUUACGCCCAAUAAUUCCGGAUAACGCUUGCCUCCUCCGUCUUACCGCGGCUGCUGGCACGGAGUUAGCCGAGGCUGAUUCCUCAGGUACCGUCAUUGUGUUCUUCCCUGAGAAAAGGGGUUUACAACCCAAAGGCCGUCCUCCCCCACGCGGUAUUGCUCCGUCAGGGUUGCCCCCAUUGCGGAAUAUUCCCCACUGCUGCCUCCCGUAGGAGUCUGGGCCGUGUCUCAGUCCCAGUGUGGCUGGUCAUCCUCUCAGACCAGCUACUGAUCACUGCCUUGGUAGGCUCUUACCCUACCAACUAGCUAAUCAGUCGCGAGCUCAUCUUCAGGCGAUUAAUCUUUCACCUCUCGGCACAUUGGGUAUUAGCAGCAGUUUCCCGCUGUUGUCCCCAUCCUGAAGCCAGAUUCUCACGCGUUACUCACCCGUCCG